rnacentral:rRNA from 1 species
GACGAACGCUGGCGGCGUGCCUAAUACAUGCAAGUCGAGCGGACAGAUGGGAGCUUGCUCCCUGAAGUCAGCGGCGGACGGGUGAGUAACACGUGGGAAACCUGCCUGUAAGACUGGGAUAACUUCGGGAAACCGGAGCUAAUACCGGAUACGUUCUUUUCUCGCAUGAGAGAAGAUGGAAAGAUGGUUUCGGCUAUCACUUACAGAUGGGCCCGCGGCGCAUUAGCUAGUUGGUGAGGUAAUGGCUCACCAAGGCGACGAUGCGUAGCCGACCUGAGAGGGUGAUCGGCCACACUGGGACUGAGACACGGCCCAGACUCCUACGGGAGGCAGCAGUAGGGAAUCUUCCGCAAUGGACGAAAGUCUGACGGAGCAACGCCGCGUGAACGAUGAAGGCCUUCGGGUCGUAAAGUUCUGUUGUUAGGGAAGAACAAGUACCAGAGUAACUGCUGGUACCUUGACGGUACCUAACCAGAAAGCCACGGCUAACUACGUGCCAGCCGCCGCAGUAAGAC